GGUACCGCUUCUUCCCUCACAACAGAGCUUUACGACCCGAAGGCCUUCCUCACUCACGCGGCGUUGCUCCGUCAGACUUUCGUCCAUUGCGGAAGAUCCCUUACUUGCUGCCUCCCGUUAGGAGUCUGGGCCGUGUCUCAGUCCCAGUGUGGCCGAUCACCCUCUCAGGUCGGCUACGCAUCGUUGCCUUGGUAAGCCGUUACCUUACCAACUAGCUAAUGCGCCGCGGGGCCCAUCCCCUUAGUGGAUAG
rnacentral:rRNA from 1 species